UUUCUGCCAUCAUAAAUGUGGUUUGUUUCCUUUAAACCGGUAACAACAGUGUUUACUCUUUGCUGCUUGUGUUAGAUUUUCUUCCUUUAUAGUUGAUUGUAAUUUCUAUAACUGAAACAAAAAGAAGCCUCUCCUGAUUCUUAGAAGCAGAGGGCUGGCUUAGGGAAUUAGAGACAUCAGAAAGAAAGCAACCUUCAGAUUCACCUUUUCUCUGAUUUUUCACUUUGGACAGUGCAAACAUGGCAGCUGAACUUGUGAGAGGUGCACUGCUUCCUCCACAUCUUACCUGAGAAAUGAGUUCCAGAGCUCCCUGCAAAGUAAAUGUUCUAAUUAUGUGGUAGGAAGGAGAUUCUUUAAAUUCUGCAGAAAUUAAGACGUGUCAUCUGCUUAACAUCUUAGCAUCUGUUACUGCCUCUUGCACAUUUCUCCACUGCAUCAGCCUGAAGGACGCUUUCCUGGACAUUUCAGAGGAAAAACAAUUAAAAUCCUUGAAACUGAGAAGAAAUUGUCCCCUUCUGCAGUGGGAUGAAGCAUGUAAGGCAUUUCAUCCCCUCCUUAUUUCUCAGUUUAGUGCAUGUUUGUCUGGGUGAGUUCAACUAUCCCUUUAAAUAAGAAUAUAGGAGGGUACAGCAUAACCUUAAAUCCCAUGGUAAUCUUUAACGAUGUGGUAAUGUCAUCCUGAAAUACAUUCCUUGCCAACUGCUGACCCCUGUGCAGUUGUUGCCCUCUGUGCUUACAUGAAUUUGUUUCAGAUAGGCUGUUAAGAACUCACACACUUCUAACCUGUUUAUUGUUUUUCUUUUCUCAAACUCUGCUGUUGUCUGGCAGGAAGGAAGUAACAAUUUAAUUCUGGCUAACUGCUCGUGCAGUAGGCAUAACGUUAGGGCAGAAUGUGUUCAGAGCACUGGGAGAGGUGCUAAGGCACUGGGAGCUUCAGACCCAGGUGUGCAGUGCAGGGAGAGGCAUGUGGGCAUUGCCAGGAGGGUUAAUGUUUUGCCCAGAGCUGACUGAGACUUCUUAGAGAGGUCCUGCUGCUUGCUUUGGUUCCCUCGAUGUUUUUUUACAUGCUCUUCUUCUUCGUUGGCUGCAGUGUGAACACAGAGUAGCAGGUAGAAGCGAGUGUAUUGAAAGUGCCCGUGCAGAUAGAACCCUGAAAGUGCACUGCAGCAAUGGAUAUGUUGUGCCCUCGUAGUAUUCCCAACGGAGCUCGUGUUUACUGAGAGUCGGGUAACAGCUACGUAACUGCCAGCAAUGAUGUGUUUUUCUGUGCCUUCUGUUUUAAUUGCAGUUCAGGCAAAUUAUGCCCCCUAUUUCUUCGAUAAUGGAGCCAGGAGCACAAAUGGGAACAUGGCACUCCUCAGCCUUUCCGAGGACACACCAGUUGGUUUCAGAGAAAGUGAGGAUCCUUGUAACGGAUGCUAAUGAUGAGAGCCCAGAGUUUAUCAAUACACCUUACAUAGUCCAAGUCCCAGAGAACUCUCCUUCUGGCAGCAGUAUCUUUAAGAUUGAGGCAGUUGACAGAGACACCGGUUCUGGAGGAAGUAUCACCUACUUCUUGCAG